rnacentral:rRNA from 1 species
UACGUAGGGUGCGAGCGUUGUCCGGAAUUACUGGGCGUAAAGAGCUCGUAGGUGGUUUGUCGCGUUGUUCGUGAAAACUCACAGCUUAACUGUGGGCGUGCGGGCGAUACGGGCAGACUGGAGUACUGCAGGGGAGACUGGAAUUCCUGGUGUAGCGGUGGAAUGCGCAGAUAUCGGGAGGAACACCAAUUGCGAAGGCAGCUUGCUGGGACGAUACUGACGCUGAGGCGCGAAAGCGUGGGGAGCAAACAGG